rnacentral:rRNA from 1 species
GUGCCAGCCGCCGCGGUAAGACGAAGGGGGCUAGCGUUGUUCGGAAUUACUGGGCGUAAAGGGCGCGCAGGCGGCUUUGCAAGUCAGGCGUUAAAGACCCAGGCUCAACCUGGGGAAUGCGCUUGAUACUGCAGAGCUUGAGAUCGGAAGAGGAGAGUGGAAUUCCCAGUGUAGAGGUGAAAUUCGUAGAUAUUGGGAAGAACACCAGUGGCGAAGGCGGCUCUCUGGUCCGAUUCUGACGCUGAGGCGCGAAAGCGUGGGGAGCAAACAGGAUUAGAUACCCUCGUAGUCC